rnacentral:rRNA from 1 species
UACAGAGGUCCCAAGCGUUGUUCGGAUUCACUGGGCGUAAAGGGUGCGUAGGUGGCGAGGUAAGUCGGAUGUGAAAGCUCGGAGCUCAACUCCGAAAUGGCAUUGGAAACUACCUUGCUCGAGGGUUGGAGGGGGGACUGGAAUGCUUGGUGUAGCAGUGAAAUGCGUAGAUAUCAAGCGGAACACCAGUGGCGAAGGCGAGUCCCUGGACGACUCCUGACACUGAGGCACGAAAGCUAGGGGAGCAAACAGG